UCUGCUGUGGUUGUGGUUAUGGUGUAGGCUGGCAGCUGCAGCUCUUAUUCCACCCCCUAACCUGAGAACUUCCAUAUGCCACAGGUGCAGCCUGAAAAAGAAAAGAAAAAAAAAAAAGUACUGCAGGAACAUAUAUUACUUGGGGGACUCAUGGGCUGGAACCAGGAACGCAGGUUCAGCUUGAGGGAGCUCUGGGAGAAACGGGCCAGGCUUGGGUCAUGUGCCCACCUCUUGUACCACCCACUGUAGCCAGGAAUGGAUAGGGUAAGCUCCAUGACUGACCCUGCCUGGAUUAUGGGUCCACCAUUAUCAGGAGAAUGGGAUAUUAUAUAGACAUGGGCAUUGGAGAAAUCAAGAGGUAAACAGCCAUGCAAUUUAUGUCUCCCUCUGGUGAAAAUACUUCAAAAUUCCUUUAUUUUAAAAAUGAGGUCAUCUUUCAGAGUCACUGCUGAAGCUUUCCAAAGAGGCCUAAAUUUCCACAUCCACCAUGAUUUCUAAGUAGGUGGCAAGGAUUCUGGUCACUGCACGGCCUGCUCACCUGGCCUCGGAGCCCACCAAAGCAUGAUCACUCUUAGGCUACCCUCACUUCCACGACACUUGCUUGGACUGCUUUGCCUACAUCUCAUCCAUACUCACCAUCUAAGUAGAAAGUGCUUGAACAUCUGCCUUCUGAUGGACCAUUAUUCCCAUUCAGAUUUGGGAUUGCUCUCCCAUCUCCUCUUCCUUCGCCACUCUCUCCCAGGCUCAUUCGCUCAUUUCACUAGUUUGUUUGACAAAACAUGUGCCCUUACAGAUUUGAUCCAAUCACAACAUUCCUUCCACUUCUUGCUGACUUGUUCCAAAAGAACUGGUUCUUCAGCCUCACAAAAAGGUGACUUUCACUCUCCAUAUUUAGAACCUCAGUCAGGAUGUUGGGUCAGAGUUCAGAUCAUGGCAUCCCCAUGUUUAUUCUUUGAGAGAAGUGAUAUGUCUACUUUAUCCACAGUUGUGUUAGCCGUUAUCACACUGAAUAUUCUGUUUUUCUAUUUGUCUCCAUCCUUAGGCUGUAGUCAUCUUAAGAACUGGGACUGCAAACCUUAGACAUAAGUUUCUUAGUAUGUGAACUGAAUGAAUGAAUGAUGAACUAAAGACCAUGGGCUUUAGUAUCAGAAAGAUCUGGAUUUGAAUUCUGUUUCUAUCACUCCCUUAGUGACUUGGGACAACUUGCUUAACCUCUCUGCCUUAAUUUCUUUGUUCCUUGCUGAUCAUAAAAUGUGGAUAAUAAUGCCUACCUUUCAAGAAUAUUGUUAGAUUUAAAUGUGCAAAUGUCUAGUACUGUGUAGAGUGUAUAGAACCAUGUAACUAGUAGCUUUAAAAAGAUGUUAAAAGACUUAACAAAGGCAAGGAGGGGGAUGUAUUGUUCACCCCUAGGGAGGGUGUUGGCCACUGUUUACAUCUUGUACCUCUGGGAAGGGAAUAUAUCGUUCAGGAUCAAAGGCAGGUGGGGGAAAAAAAUAGUAGAACAAAGAAAACCACCUUGGCAGAGAGGAGCAGAAUGUCAUUAUUACUAAACUGUAAGUUCUCUGAGAAGAGUGACACACCUAAUUUAAUGAUGAAGACUUAGUAUCUAGCACCACACCAUACAUUACAAAUGUUUAUUGAAUAAAUCAGUGAAUGCAUA